rnacentral:rRNA from 1 species
GCUUGUCUCAAAGAUUAAGCCAUGCAUGUCUAAGUAUAAGCAAUCUAUACGGUGAAACUGCGAAUGGCUCAUUAAAUCAGUUAUCGUUUAUUUGAUAGUACCUCACUACUUGGAUACCUGUGGUAAUUCUAGAGCUAAUACAUGCUAAAAACCUCGACUUCGGAAGGGGUGUAUUUAUUAGAUAAAAAACCAAUGCCCUUCUGGGCUCCUUGGUGAUUCAUAAUAACUCAACGAAUCGCAUGGCCUUGCGCCGGCGAUGGUUCAUUCAAAUUUCUGCCCUAUCAACUUUCGAUGUGUGGGUAGUGGCCACACAUGGUUUCUACGGGUAACGGGGAAUAAGGGUUCUAGUCCGGAGAGGGAGCCUGAGAAACGGCUACCACAUCCAAGGAAGGCAGCAGG